rnacentral:lncRNA from 1 species
GGAGACAGAUUGGAGACUGCUCUCUCGUCCUCAUCAGCUGCAGCACCCAGGUAAAGCCUUCUUCCUUGGCAAUACUCCAUUGUCUCAGUAAUGGGCUUUCUGUGCAGGCGAGCAGUAGGACCUAGACCAAACCCCUGGUGUUUCAGUAACAAAAAGAUUGUUUUCUUUUGCCUAUUUGUCCAAGAAUGUGGCCAGCAUCAUUUUAAUUUUUUGUCAGUUUCUCAUGGAUAUUCAAAAAGAAUGAAUAUUUUCCUUUGGGGGUGUAUUGACAGAUAAAUGGAGAGACAGAUGAUAAAUAUUAGAUAUAUAUUAUAUGAAGCUUAUUAUUCAAAA